GAACCAAUAGCACAAUGUCAGUGCGCCUGUUUAACGUGCCAGCGUCUCCUCACGGUUAGCAGGAUAUCCCUGUUCGAUUCGGGGUUGGUUCA